rnacentral:rRNA from 1 species
AGUGAACGCUGGCGGUAGGCCUAACACAUGCAAGUCGAACGGCAGCACAGUAAGAGCUUGCUCUUACGGGUGGCGAGUGGCGGACGGGUGAGGAAUACAUCGGAAUCUACUUUUUCGUGGGGGAUAACGUAGGGAAACUUACGCUAAUACCGCAUACGACCUACGGGUGAAAGCAGGGGAUCUUCGGACCUUGCGCGAUUGAAUGAGCCGAUGUCGGAUUAGCUAGUUGGCGGGGUAAAGGCCCACCAAGGCGACGAUCCGUAGCUGGUCUGAGAGGAUGAUCAGCCACACUGGAACUGAGACACGGUCCAGAAUCCUACGGGAGGCAGCAGUGGGGAAUAUUGGACAAUGGGCGCAAGCCUGAUCCAGCCAUACCGCGUGGGUGAAGAAGGCCUUCGGGUUGUAAAGCCCUUUUGUUGGGAAAGAAAAGCAGCAGGUUAAUACCCCGCUGUUCUGACGGUACCCAAAGAAUAAGCACAGGCUAACUUCGUG